rnacentral:lncRNA from 1 species
AAAAUGAUAAUAGUAAUUUAGGUAAGUGGUUCAAUCUGGUGUUUCUUAAGGUGAAGCAUCUUAGUUAAAUGUCACUACAACAAAAACGGUCUAUAGCGACACUUUUAAAUAUCGGUAUAAGUCAAAAAAGGUACCGCUGGCUAAAUUACCGAUACUUUUAAAAAGUGUUGCUAUAUGUGGGGUCGCUAGGUAAAUAGUGACAGUUAAAGAGUGUCGCUAUAAUCUAAAAAAGUGCUGCUAAUUUAACAAUAUUUAUUUAAGCAUCUAGCAACAGCCGGAAUUCUACCUCGUUGGCUGCGGUGGCGGAGGAGGACGAGAGGAAAGGAUUUUCGUCUAGAAUUUCAGUCGAUUGUGUGAGGGGAGAAGGGAAAAUUGUAAUCGAUUUUUCUUUUCUUUUUCUUUUCUUUUUCUCUUCUGUUUGUAAUCGGGCCGAAUGAGCUGGGUGAGGUGGGUUGAGUAGAGUACCUUUUUAUUUUUGGUUGGAUUGGACUUUAUAUUUAGGCAUUAAUAGAUUUUUUUUAAAGUUUCGACAUAAAUGUAACACUUACACAAAAGUGUUCCAAAUAUGUGUUCCUAUAACAUAAUUCUGUUGUAGUGUGUCUAGAUCCUGUAGAAAUUACAUUAGCUAUUUCUAGACUAAGGGACAAGUUCCCUACUUAAU